UACGAAGGGGGCUAGCGUUGUUCGGAUUUACUGGGCGUAAAGCGCACGUAGGCGGAUCGUUAAGUCGGGGGUGAAAUCCUGGAGCUCAACUCCAGAACUGCCUUCGAUACUGGCGAUCUUGAGUCCGGAAGAGGGUAGUGGAAUUCCGAGUGUAGAGGUGAAAUUCGUAGAUAUUCGGAAGAACACCAGUGGCGAAGGCGACUACCUGGUCUGGCAUUGACGCUCAUGUGUGAAAGCGUGGGGAGCAAACAGG
rnacentral:rRNA from 1 species